UCUACGGGAGGCAGCAGUGGGGAAUCUUGGACAAUGGGCGCAAGCCUGAUCCAGCCAUGCCGCGUGAGUGAUGAAGGCCCUAGGGUCGUAAAGCUCUUUCGCCAGGGAUGAUAAUGACAGUACCUGGUAAAGAAACCCCGGCUAACUCCGUGCCAGCAGCCGCGGUAAUACGGAGGGGGUUAGCGUUGUUCGGAAUUACUGGGCGUAAAGCGCGCGUAGGCGGACUAGAAAGUUGGGGGUGAAAUCCCGGAGCUCAACUCCGGAACUGCCUCCAAAACUCCUAGUCUAGAGUUCGAGAGAGGUGAGUGGAAUUCCGAGUGUAGAGGUGAAAUUCGUAGAUAUUCGGAGGAACACCAGUGGCGAAGGCGGCUCACUGGCUCGAUACUGACGCUGAGGUGCGAAAGUGUGGGGAGCAAACAGGAUUAGAUACCCUGGUAGUCCACACCGUAAACGAUGAAUGCCAGACGUCGGGUAGCAUGCUAUUCGGUGUCACACCUAACGGAUUAAGCAUUCCGCCUGGGGAGUACGGUCGCAAGAUUAAAACUCAAAUGAAUUGACGGA
rnacentral:rRNA from 1 species